AACGCACAUUGCGCCCGCUAGUAUUCUGGCGGGCAUGCCUGCCCGAGCGUCAUUUCAACCCUCGCACGCCCCUUCGGGGGCGGCGGUGUUGGGGGCCGGCCGAGAAGGGGGAGCUCCCAGGAGCCCGCCCCGGACGGCCGCCCCCGAAAUGCAGUGGCGGUCCCGCCGGCGCCUCCCCCGCGUAGUAGCAACAGCCUCGCGGACCGGGAAGCCCGGCGCGGCACCCUCGCCGUAAAACCCCCCCAAUUCGAAGGCCCACGGGCCGAAGAGUUUGACCUCGGAUCAGGUAGGAAUACCCGCUGAACUUAA
rnacentral:misc_RNA from 1 species